UUAAGUCCUUAUGGCAAUAUUAUUAAAUUAUUAAAUUAUUUGAUUCCAUCUUUUUCAUGAAAAGAUCCGGCAAUGUACUCGAUGAUAUCUUGUUGACAAGAAAUAAAUUCUGAGUACUUUGUAGUACUACCGAGGGGAAUGUCACUCCGCGACACUAGCGUGCCUAGCUAAUCGAGGAAGGUGGGGCGAUAAUAUGAACGUUUUAAAAAUUACGUCAUUUAUGGACACCCUCUGACCAAAUUUAGAACAAAUUUCUGAGGAUGGUGAGGCAGUUGCCCCAUGUUGCCCCACCCCAGCUCCGCGAUAACACACUAAAACGCACGAAAACGAGCUCGAAAAGCAUCAACGCUACUCAUCGUACCGAAUUUUCACAUAACGCCACCAGAAAGUAAGUUAUCGCAAGUUAACGCGCGUUAAAGCGAGUUAAAGCGGUCAGCGUCUGCUCGAUUUUUGAACCAAACCAAAUCGAUCUUGCAACCCUGUCGUCAUUUUCGAGUAGUUUUUCUUCGGGUUUGGCAACCCGUUCUUUGUUUUGAUUAUUUUCCUGCAGUUUUCGUAAAUAAACAAAACAAUCUGUGAGUUUAAUUUGUUUUGCCCAUUCGGUGACGAAAACGCUGCAGAUUUGCCGCCCCGCUGGUGGUCUCACGGGGCAGGUGGAAUCAUCCCGAGUCCGAGGUACGAGGAGAUUUUUGAACCGAUGGCGGGUCAAGCGAAUCCGGGUUUGACGGAGCGGAUACGGGAGCCGAAGAAUAUGCUUCAGGGUUUGUGAAGGCGGCACAUAUUAGUGACUUUCAAUUUGAGAACCAGCGAAAGACGAUCCACAACUAUGGGACGCGUUUGAUCCGUCGGUGGAGGAAGGACCGAGUGGAGGUGGUGGGGCACUUGCAGGCCGCGUACGGCACGGACGGGAAGACGGUGUUUGAAUCUUUUAUAGCGAAUCAGGCGGGGGAUAAAAGAAAAAAGUUGAAUAUCGCCAAUCUGAAAGAAGUUGAUGGAUUUUUUGGACUGUGAGGCGAGGACGAGGAACUUGUGUCCAGGCCGAACGGGGCCGAGCAGGUUGUGAUCGAGGAGAUGAUGGCCAAAAAGCAGCGCCGGAACCGCAUGACUGAGAAUAAGCCGAACGAGUAUCCCCGAACAGUGCUUCCUGCUAGUGGCGGGAACGUCCGACGUCCGAUAAGAUCUUUUGCGUGAGUAGAUUCAACAAAAAAUAAUGGGAUAAGAAGCCUCAAAUUUUCUUCUAUUUCAGUGGGGCGCCCGCAGUGGAGAUUUCGUCCAGGAGUACGAACGACAUCUGGGCGCGGUAAACUUGAUCACCUUCGACGACUAAAACCUGGCGACGCAAAGUCUACAUCUGUUUUACGGCCUGUACGAGCAGCUGAGUGCCUACACCAACAGUAUCGCCGUGCGCUGAUUCUCAAGUUUCUCCUGUUCCUCGCGGAUACGAAUAGUUUCGCGGGUGCGUCCAACGGAGGUCCGCUGUUGAAUCUGGACCACCGCGAGGACAGCAUCAACAGUAAUGGUUUGCCGGCACCGGUGCCUAUGCUGGCGGAGUUCUUCAAGGACGGGCAACUCCAAUCUGAACAUUCCCGAGCCCGGCCUCAUCGAAGGGAUUCUUCCGCGCAGUGAAUUGACCGGUCACGAUUGGU